GGGAACAGACCCGCACAAAGUCAGUGUCUGUGUGUGUGUGCAGUAAAACACGAAGGGCAGCAAUGUUAGCAUAAUGGAAAGGAUGACAUUUAUCCCACAAAUUGCCUUGACGUCAGCAAAAUAAAAUCCAGUCUUGGCAAGAUGGCUGUCUGGUGAAAGAGAAAAGGAUCCUGGGGAAGGAGAGGAAGCACGCACAGUGCUGCAAAGGGAAGAGCAAGUCAUUAGGAAAACAACUGAAACCAACAUAAUGUAAUAUAAUUUGAUUCUGGGCAAAGCUGAGGGCAGAGAUGCAGACAGCAGUCCCUGUGAGGCCCGGCUCAGUGACACCCACGCCUGGCUGCAUCUGUCCAGCUUGUUUCCAACUCAAGAAAAACAGAAGAGCCACAGGAAGACACGCACCUGCGACGACCACGAAGAAGAUGUGAUGUCACCGUAGCUGCUGUAAUGUCGACUGCUGAGUCCCGCUUUGAAGACUGAAGAUGGC